GCUUUCUUUCCACCAGGGAAGACUGCAAAGGCCAGAGAUCAUUUUCACAACUAAAGGUCGUCAUCUGGGCAAAUGAACCACUCUGACUUGGAGAUUAGGGGCUCAGACAGCCGUGGAUGAGAGUCCAGCUCUACUACUUAUUAGCCUUGAUUAGGGGAGACAAUAAAAAGGUCAACACAGCUCCCACCUCGAAGCAGCUGCCAGUUUAUUACAUGAAGUGUCAGGCUGUGGACUGCAGGCAUGCCAUUUUGUCUUCAAGAACAGAAUUCCCGGGCACACGAAUGAUUCCAGGGUUCCUCCAGCACUUUGGUAUUACUUGAAAGCAAUCUUAAGGGAUCUAGAAUGAACCAACGCCCAAAAAGGAUCCCUUAGCAGCGGUGAUAUCAAAGAAACACUUUUGAAGAACUAAUUUUCCACCCAGAUUUCCCCAAUUUUAAAAGCAAUGGGCAAAGCCUUCUCCACUCCUAAACUUCCUGGAACUGUCUUUUGGCUAUAUCAGGCCCCUGAAGUUAGAGUCUUUGAAAGACUCCAAACUCCAAAUUCUAUGCUUUUAUUCUCAGGCUCCUCAUAAUUCUACAGCACACCAGACUGCUGACCACUCUCCGUACCACUUUUAAAUUAUUUCUUCCCACAGCUUUCUUAACAAUGAACCUUUGAAAUCUUUUUAGUUUUCCAUUUAUUUUGCUACCUUUCCUCUGUCCUAGCUCUAAAAUGAAGAUCCUCUAAGGUUCUACAGUUUACUUCUUGUAUUCUCCUUUGUAAGUCAUCUCCAAGACGAUGUCCAAAUCCAUCACCAUUAAAAUUAAUAGUUUCCUCACCCACAACACUUAAUAUUUUAAAAAAAAUACUUUUCAUUGUAUUAUAAUUACUUGAUACAUACAUAUUUGCUCUGUGAGUUCCUUAUUCAUCAUAUUAGUGCCUGACAAUAAAUGUGUGCUGGAUUGAGCUGAAUCUUUAU
ensembl:lncRNA novel transcript, antisense to LTA4H